UAAGAUGUCCUGUGUGAAUAGCCUUAGGU
rnacentral:piRNA from 1 species